CGUAAGAAGGCGCUGCGGUAGAA
rnacentral:snRNA from 1 species